AUACGUAGGGGGCUAGCGUUAUCCGGAAUUACUGGGCGUAAAGGGUGCGUAGGUGGUUUCUUAAGUCAGAAGUGAAAGGCUACGGCUCAACCGUAGUAAGCUUUUGAAACUAAGAGACUUGAGUGCAGGAGAGGAGAGUAGAAUUCCUAGUGUAGCGGUGAAAUGCGUAGAUACUAGGAGGAAUACCAGUUGCGAAGGCGGCUCUCUGGACUGUAACUGACACUGAGGCACGAAAGCGUGGGGAGCAAACAGGAUUAGAUACCCUGGUAGUCCACGCCGUAAACGAUGAGUACUAGCUGUCGGGGGUUACCCCCCUCGGUGGCGCAGCUAACGCAUUAAGUACUCCGCCUGGGAAGUACGCUCGCAAGAGUGAAACUCAAAUGAAUUGACGGGG
rnacentral:rRNA from 1 species